GCGUCUCCGCCCCGGGGUUGGCGGCUCGGAGAAGGAGGAAAGAUGGCGGAGUGAGGCGUUCCCCGGGCAGCUGGCCUCCGGGCCCGGGCGGGCCUCCCGCGAGAGGCAGAGUACUUGUGCGGGACCGUGUGAGGAACCUUAGCACACAGGAUGAAUAUUUUCGUGACCUUAGGUGCUUUUAUAUUCAGCUCAGAAUUCUGAACUCAGGACUUGGCAAGAAUGUCUGUGUUGUCUUCUCAGUGGGGCGUCCUGGUUCUUUGAUCCAGCUGCUUCCCCUGGUGAAAUUCGGGUGUCUUGUCUACACACACCUCCAUGGUUUGGAAUGGAGAGACUACCUGCCUGCCUUUCCUUAAUGCCACCUCACUCAGCAGAAAGGAGUCUGGGAUGCAGCUGUCCUGCUGAGUUCAGGAGAAACCAACUGGCCUGAAGCUUCUGCUGCAGUUCUUCAUAAGAAAGACACCAUUUGCAAGUGGAAGGAAGGUGUUUAAUUGGAAAUAGGUGCUUAGGUUGUGCAUCGUGAAUUCUUCCUUUUAAAAGCUCCAAACAACAAAACUAAACAAAUGCCAAGUGUGGGUGACUUCAGGUUUCAUUUUGUUUUGUUUUGUUUUUAAGUCUGCCAGUUUUAACACUAUUAUAAGCACAGUUGAGACUGCAGUGGUAAAUUCCAAAUAUUCAUUAUAAUUGGAGGUGAAAGAAACAUCAUCUAAUUCCUAGCUCACCCUUUGACAGAAUUUCCUGGACAAAAACAAGCCUCUGUUAUGAUAAAAGCAAAAGGCAGAAUACCAAGGUUGCUUUCCUAUGGGGGUGAAACCAUUGCAGUGUGUGUAUGUGCAGAGUCACAUUUUUAUGUGUAUAAAUCCACAUUUUCUAACAGGAUUUUUCUCUUGGAGAAGAAAGCUGUCAUUUAUGAGAAGGCUUCAGACAAUUUGAUGGUCUUAAGUGUUUGAGCUUUGUCUAUUUUGUUUUGCUUUUUUCAUCCUUCUCAGGAAGGACCAGCUAGGCCUGUGGCUAGUUGGGAGUGGAAAGAGAACAGGCUGGGGUGAUGCUUGCCUCGUCUGAGGCAGGAAGAUCAGAAGUUCGGGUCCAGCUUUGGCCACAUGGUGAGACUGUCUCAAAAACAGCAGAAAAGAAAAGAAAAAUGAGCCCAGUAACACCACUUUUGUUUUCUGAGAUUAUAUUCUUUUUUGUGGAAUCCCAUGUAGCACAUGAGACUUCGGUUUUCCAUGUGGCUGUGGCUGAAGGAAAGUGACAUGUGUGAUAUGUGAUGGACCCUAUGGUAUAACUCGCCUUCCACUUUGAACAUACAGUAGUGAAGGAAAAAAUAACUCUAAGGGGGCGUGUAAAUCCUCUUCUGAGAAAAAGAAGUCGCGAUGUCUAAUGUAGCAGCAUCUGACUUUUUAGAUUUUUACAUUAUGUAGUUGCAUUUGUUAUAAAAGCAUAAAUAACCUUCAUCCCAAGAUGGGUACUUGGACAUUUAUUUUUCUAGGUGAUAAUGUAAUGUAAGGCUGAAAUUCUGGGACUCAGGUAAAUUUUCCCAGUUUGAAUUGAACUUUCUUACCAGAGAAUGGAUCUCAGAAGCAAUGUUCCCAGUCCUGUGGUCGGUUCACUAUAUUCUUGGAAGAAAUUCAGGAUCUGAACAAAACUUCAAAUAAGAAAAGCGGGUCAAAUAAGAAGUGUGGACCUUGUUCCAAGUCACUGUAGAUUUAGAGGAAAUUCAGGUUCAGGGUUGGGAAGACCUUGAGAAAACUAGUUCCAAUAAGAAAUGAUAUGUGUUCAUUUUUCCUUUAACAAUUAUGAGGAACCAUCAUGAAAACCUCUCUUUGCUUCCAAAUCAACAGAAGUCUAUUUUAUGGGAUGCCAGGCUUUUACAAGGGAGUGAACUGUUGUUUUCAAUAGUUGCCAAUAGAGAAGGAAUUUUAAGGUUGCUAGAGUUAGGAACAGGUGCUGUUGGAGCUGAUUUCUGGAACCAUUUCCCAGUGCUGUGAAUUUGAGUCAUAGAAAUGAUCAAAAUUAGGAAAUGUUGAACAUCCUAAUGGUUAUUCAGAUUGGGCAACAAAUUUGAAUUUAUACAAAAGCUUUUUUUAUAAAGUACUUAUUAUAAAUAACCUUUUAAUGAGAGCAAAUAAUGAUAAAACACUAGAGAAAUACAGAGUGAAAGGUAACCUGAAUUGCUGGGCUUGGUAGCCCACACCUGUAACCACAGCAUUUUGGAGGCUGAGACAGGAUGAUUGGCCACAAGAUCAAGGCCAGCCUGAAUGACAGACCCUGUCUCAAAAUGAAACAAAAAUAUAACCCAAUUUUUUCUCUUUAAGUACCCCAGCCACUUAUAUUUUCAUUUAAAAGACAAUGGAACUAGCUGGUGACCGAGCAUCUCAUAGAUGCCUUUGGGCAACUUUAUGGGAUAUGGCCCUCGGGCAGGGCUGUCAACACCAAGGAGGUGCCAUCUUUUGCUCCAGAUGCUUCAGGUUUGUAGCUUAAACCUUCAGGUGUUGAGUGUGCUUUAUCAAAGAUGCUCCUGUGUCCUGCAUUGUUAGCACCAGAUGGCAUUUCACACCUGGGGACAUGCCAGUUGUGGUUGCCUGGUGUGCGGUACAUUUCCAUUUCAUAGUCUUGCUUGGGUUUUCUUACUAGAGCAAAAACUACCAUUUUAGAGCUGUGCUUCCAACUGUAGCCGGGACUCCUCCCUUCUCCAUGUAAGCUGGCAGUUUUUCUUUUGGAGUUACUAAACAAAAACGGGAUAUGUGCAAUAUAAAUAUAUAUAUAUGUAUAUUUUAAUACUUGUGGACAAGUGUUACAAGUUGUUUAAGAACAACAAAAUCACCAAUGUCUUCCAUUUUGAGAUGUGUAUAGUUUUGUAAGCAGUAGUGCUUGGUAGCAUAUUGUAGUGCCAUGUUAGGGGUUAGUGCAUGAAUUUAGUAUAAUUUUAAACUUCAGGAUGAAAUAUUGAUAAUAACUAGUAGUGUAAAAAGAGUGGAAAAUCCUUGACCUUUACUUUUUUCGUGUAUGAAUCUGUGAUAUUCUCCCUGGGGAUAGGAGAUAAAGGCCAAAACAACUAAUGUCUGAACAGAAAUGUGGGUUCACAUUGAGAAACAUUGUGCUUAGGGAAAUGUUAGCCUUUCACAAGGUAGCUAGAAAUAACUGCCUUUGCAGCUUUUCAGUCCUCAAAGCAAGGCCUCAUUUCAUGAUUAAGUCUUGCUCUCUUAGUUUGAAGCUAGCUUGUUCUUACAUUGUCUGUAUUAUAUGUCUUGGGUUCAUUUUCCCUAUUUGUGUCCAGAGAAUUAUUUUCUAUUUUGCAUGUCUGAGAUGCUAUGCUAAUUGCUUUGGAAUGUUUAACCUGUGGCCAUUUCCUUUCCUGUUUGCAGCAUGUGUUAAUUGCAGAACCUUGUCAGCAGUUUGGAGUAUCCUGUACUCUAGGCUUUUUUCUACUUUCCUUAUGGAAAUAAAGUAGUUGCUUUGUUUUAAAAAAGAAAGUUUCUAGUAAAGUGGAAUUCCUACCUCUAAAAGCUGCCUAGGAAACUUGGAAGGAACAGUUUUCUGGAGUGUUGUAGGUUGUGUUUUGUUUUGUUUUAAUUAUAGAAUUAGAGCCUGCCAGGUGUGGUGGUGCAUUCCUACAAUCCCAGCAUUUGGGAAGCUGAGGCAGGAGGAUCAGGGGUUCAAGGUUAUCCUUUGCUGUAUAGUGAAUUGGAGGUUAACCUGAGCUACAUGAGAUCCUGUCUCAGAAAACCAAAAGAAAAGAGAGUCUAGGACUUAUUAACAUGCAUUAUAUUAGUAUGAUAAUGUAAAACUGUUUUUAAUGUGACUUUUUUUUCCCACACAGACUAGGUAUGAGUCUAGUAAGGGACCCAGGAAUAGAUCCCCGUAGAAUAUCAAGUAGGUGGCUAGCGCCUGGGAGAAUCUGCUUCUGAAAAGCAUUUCAAUUUAAGAAACAAAGGAAAUAUUAAAAAAACUUGAAAAAGUAAUGCAUAUAAAGUAGCACAGUAUAUAGGAAAGGAUAUUUCCUAUUGCAAAAAAUAAAAGCCAUAAAUGAACUAAAAAUGUUGAGGAGGUGGAAUUUAGUAGCAAUAACAGUUUCUCAUGUAUAGUAAUUUGUGUUCACAGAGGUGUAUGGUUGAGUACUUACUAUUUGAAUUUGUGGACCUCUGCAGUCUCACAGAGUCCACAAAAGGAAAAUACAUCCGAAGUUAAAAAGCAUUUAAAACUAUGAAUGUAUAUGAAUAUAUCUGCGUGAAAAAUACCAACUUUCAUAUAUGUGUUAAAGACCCUAUUUUGUUUCCCUAGAGUUUACAGCUGUUGAAAUCUUUCUAGUGCUUAAUCUGGAAACAAAUGUACUUCUACAGUCCCAGUGAAGCCAACAUGUAGGGGGUCUUGCUUAAAUUGUUUCUGUUAGUAGUUAUUUACUGUGUAGAAUGAUGUAUGCUUUGUAACCUUUGUUCAUUGGCUUCCUGGCUACUUUUCCAAAAGGAAAAGGUUGUUUUUGUGUGUGAUUGGUGUGUCCGAGGAAGCGGGGGAGCCUCAAGAACUUGCUGGCUUUUCCUUGUACUUAGGAUGAAGAAAGUUAGGAAUUAAAGGUAAACAAAAUGACUGGGCAGUACCCAGGCUGGGGGUUGUCUGUAUGUCUGAUACAUGUAUGUAAUGAAGCUUAUGGCCUGUGUGUGACUGCAUAGUUUUUAACAAGGAGAACCCAGCAAACUCAUUCCUUUCUUGAUCUGAGGAAUCACACAGCUCACAUCAAGAUACAAUGUGGAACUGGGGUGAUUCCUCACUUCCUUUACCUCAUGUCCAUCGUAGCUACUUGAACAGUGAAAAGAUCUAGGUCUGUGUUCCUUUGUUUUCCCAGGGGAAAAAAGUUAAAGAGUAGUUUUGUAGAUCUCAGACUCUCUCUUGAAUUAUUUUAUUACAAGCCUAAGGGGAGGGGAAAGGCUAUACUGAGUAUAGUUCCUCUUUAAAUGUCCUGUCCUGUCCACGUUAGGUUUUGGGACAACCAAGCAAUAUUCAGACACCUGCAUGAUCAUGGAGACAUGGCUAAUUUAAUUACAUCAGAAAUUACCCUUAACGGCCAUGUUUAUGGUUCUAAGUGUAAAACUGCUACAAGAUUUUGUGGUCUCAAAAGUAUGUAGGUAAUUAGUAUUCGGUCUUUCUGUAGUCUCUUGUUCACUCUUUAUGUACCUGUGAUAUGCAAAAUAUGAAGAGACCCCCUAGCCUUCAGGAGUUUACAUUCUCAUGGUGCUGUAGAUGCAAGCAAACUGUCUCUAGUUUAUUUAGAACAUUGCUUGGCUAUUAUACCAUUUUGGAAGAACCCCUUGGCCAAGAGUUUUAAAAUGCAGAGGGCUAUGCUAAAUUUCAGGGCAUUACUGCUUGAGUUUACAUUGUUGUAGCUCUGCUCCUUACCUUUCCCCAGGGAGCUGUUCAUUAAUGUGAAUCAGAAAAGAAACCAUUCUGCCUAAGUAUCCUACCACCCCUACAGCUCUCAGUAAGUGACCCAGAAAACUUACUGCUCCCUGAAGACAGUCACCUCAGUUCCUUUUUCCCAGGGCUUUCAACUUAUUCUUUAUCCUCAAAGGGCCAGGAUUUCUAGCUAAGCCUUUUAGAACUAAACAGAAGUCUUCGGUUUAGCCUUUUUGUAUAUGACUUGUUUCUGUUUUGAGGCAGCAUUGUAGUAGAUAAGUGUACCUGACUGCAUCUCUAAGGAAUUUGACUGACAAUAUUCAGUUGAAUUUGCAUGUAUCAUUGCUUUUCCCACAGUUCUGAAUCAAAGGGUUUGCAUGUUUAUUAAAACCAGGCCUGGUUGAAAAUGUAAGCAAUAGUAGCAGGCCCAUAACUGAUUCUAGAAUGCUAACAUUUUAAUGCAUGGUUGAAUUUCCAUUAUUAGGUAGUUACUAGUAAUUUUCUAUAUGUAUUUAUCAAUAAUGAAGCAAUAGAUACUUGAACCAAUAGCUUGGUUUUAUUGUUUGAAUUAUUUUUGUUUUCUAAUUAAAGAUUGUCUUACUUCCAUUGAAAAAUGGGAAGUACAAGAUAAAUAAGGGGCAACCACAAGACAUUCAAACUGUUAGGAAUACAGCAAGCAAUGCUUGCUCUGUUUCCUAGCUAUAUUUAUUCCCAAGCAUGUUUGCAAAUACAAGAUAAACUAAGCAUGUUGAAUACGCUGCUAUAACAGAAUGGUGCAGGGUUCCAGAAGAGUCGGGACAUAGACUAAGUAGGGUCAUCUUACUUCAGAAAUAAGUGUUCAGUUUGCAAAACAACCAGCUAUGGGACUUGCUCGAUUAGGUUUAUGUAGACUAAGUUUGGGAUUUCUUAAAACUAUAGAUUAAGCCAGAUGCAUGCUCUGCGGUCCCUGAAUAGGCAGAAGCCAGCCUUAGUGCCAUAGCUAGACUCCUUUGCAGGAGACAAAUUAGUAUCUUGGAGGUGUAUAGCAUCAGUGUGCACAUACUUCGGUUUUUCAGUAAUAAGGCAUCUGAUCUGGAAGGUACUGAUACAGACCAUCUGUAAGGGACCCAGCACUAAGAGUCUCUGCAGAGUUACAGAAGUACUGCCGUUGCUGUUUUGAUUGCACUUGUUGCUGCAUUUACAGCCAUUGAGCUACAGUUUCACUCUAGAUGAGAUGGUCAAAGUGUGGAUCUUGCCUAAAACUUUUGAUUCCUGAUAGACAGGAAAAGUUUCUCUUCUUCCAAAAAAGAUGUGUAUUUGGGUGAACAAAGAUGGUGAAAGGAGCAGAAGUGUCAUCUAACGGCAGAGCAUUUAGCUGAGAAAAGGGUUCAGUUGCCAGCACUACCAAAACUCAUGGUGGAAGCUAAGAACCGCUUAGACUUCUUGACUUGGAAAUGAUCCAAGCAACAAAUAGUUUUGACAAAUAAUGAAAAGUAUUUAUAAUGUGUGAAAGACCUAAAUAGAACUCAGAUAAAACUGUUUCACUGGGUUUAAUCCAAUUUACCUGUUACAUGAUGGAAAACUAGUUUGAGAUUGAUUUUAACCUUUUCUGUGGAGCUUUGCUAUGGACGUCACCUAGAAUGGUAACUUCCAUCGUUCAGAACUGAAUUAGAGUUGUCAGUGUGGUGUUUGCUUCUGACUGAAAUACAGGAAUGGAGGUGUGUGAUGUAUCCCAAAUAGAAAUGUUCUUUGCAUCUUACUGAUGAUACAUAUGCUAGCCUAGAAAGAUGUAAGGUCAGAGUUCUUUCUUCUAACACUCUCUUCCUAAUAGUCCACUAAAGUCAAUUAAAACAGACCACACAGGAAAAUUAAAUGUAUAUUUGGUAGAGCUCAGACUUAUAAACACCUUCAAAGUCAGAAUAUACUUACGAUUACUGAUAUUUUCUAAACAUUCUGACACCUUUGGUAAUGGUGUGCUGUGUCCUUAAUUUAAAUGUACUUUUUUUUUUUUUUUUUUUUGGCUUGGGAUAUAGCUCUUGGAGAACACUUAGGCCCUGGGGCCAGUCCUCAGCACUGACACCCCAUCCCAAGGAUCAAACAGAUAUUCUUUCUGCCAGCAUGUUAUCAGUCUUUAAACAUUACUAGUCUGGGCAUUAACCUUAACCCACCCAUUCCUGUAAUGAAAAGGAUUACGAAUAUUCAAGGAAUCUCCCUGACAGUGGAGUGACAUCUACCCUUCAAGCACAGGUGUUGCUGUUUGCUUGCUCUUCCGUGUUAUCUUCCAUUGCGCCAUUGAUGUAUACAAGGUGAUGUAAAAGAGCUUCACUGAAUGUUUGAAGCACUACAAAAGGCAGCUUCUUAAUCUAUGCAUCUUUGGGAGUUUUGAAGACAUUUGACUCCUUGGAAAAGGAACUGUUUUGAGAGUUUGAAACUGCACCUGUAUGUGUAUGUUUUUAGCAAUAAAGCAUGAGCUGAGAAUGCA